rnacentral:rRNA from 1 species
GAUGAACGCUGGCGGCGUGCCUAAUGCAUGCAAGUCGAGCGAACGGACGAGAAGCUUGCUUUUCUGAUGUUAGCGGCGGACGGGUGAGUAACACGUGGAUAACCUACCUAUAAGACUGGGAUAACUUCGGGAAACCGGAGCUAAUACCGGAUAAUAUUUUGAACCGCAUGGUUCAAAAGUGAAAGACGGUCUUGCUGUCUCUUAUAGAUGGAUCCGCGCUGCAUUAGCCAGUUGGUAAGGUAACGGCUUACCAAGGCAACGAUGCAUAGCCGACCUGAGAGGGUGAUCGGCCACACUGGAACUGAGACACGGUCCAGACUCCUACGGGAGGCAGCAGUAGGGAAUCUUCCGCAAUGGGCGAAAGCCUGACGGAGCAACGCCGCGUGAGUGAUGAAGGUCUUCGGAUCGUAAAACUCUGUUAUUAGGGAAGAACAUAUGUGUAAGUAACUGUGCACAUCUUGACGGUACCUAAUCAGAAAGCCACGGCUAACUACGUG